AAAAAUUUAAAAAUACUGUACAAAGAACACAUAUUUGUAAACCAAAUUGAAUCACAGGCCUUCAGUUUAUAACCUAUUUGCCCUGGGUUCAUUUUUCAAGAUAAUAUAGGAGUUAUUCAAAAUUUCUGUGGCAAAUGUAACCUUAAAGUUUGAUGUUAACCUCUGAGAAAUAAUAAGCUUGUUAAGAUGUUAAAGAAAAAAGGAGAUUUAGAUUUACUUAAAAGAUGGGUCUAGAAAUUCUGUAUGCUCUUUGCCGUGGAGUGAAACUGUUUUCUCAUGGCGUUAACCCAGCUCCUCAAAACCAACCCACAUUUCCAAGAUUCUUCUGAUCAGAAUGAGUCCUGUAACACUACCUAGCUGCUGAAAGGAGUGACAAAGCUCCCUGCCCACUGACAGGAGAAGACUGACAAGAUCCACUGUUAGAUGAAAAAAGCAAGGUCCUAGGUGUUGGCUGCAUUCUCUUUUGUAGCAGAUGGCUGCCCCCCAAGGGUCAGGGAAAAUGGCCACAAGAUACAUGAGGCUUAUAUUAUUCUGAUAGCUUGUCAAUGAGGAAGAGAAAACGUCUUUCCUGCUCUGGCAGUUAAGUCUCAAGAUGAACUCUGGACUGGCUCGGAUCCCAUAUCCUUCUCGAUCCCUGAACCUCAUUGUGGUUAGGAGGUAGAACACUCUGGUUGGCUAGGCCUAGGUCACAUAGGGAUGGUGACGUUGCCCUCACUUGUACCACAUAGAAAGAGGAGGAAUAUACCCCCAAGGCAGGGGCAAUGGGCAAUACACAUAUCUACUGUAAAGCCAAAUGUGCUUAAAGCCAGAAGAAACUUAAAUCCCCGUGG